UCGAUCGCCGCCGCCGCCGUUGCCCGUUGGUCCGAAACUCCCACCGAAAUACGAGUACGCGACCGUCGACGCGCGCGCUCCAGCGGGUGUGUGGGUUCAUUCAUCAGGCACCCGGCACCGAUCGGGCGAGUCGUCCGACAGCGGCGGUCGCGGCGGCGGCAUCGUGAGCGGAAGGAAAAGCGAGCGAGAAAAGAAGAGGAGAAAAAACCUUAAAAACCAAUCGCGCGUGAGUGUGCGCGCGCCCGCGGUGUGUGCCGUGCAGUCGUAGUCCGAUCGUUUUCGUUGUCCGCUGUCUUUCCCUCCCUCGACUCAUCGUUCAUUUGUUCUCAGCCGCCGUCAUCGGUGGCGAGUUAGUGGUGGCGUUUACACCCCCGGAGCAAGACGGCCUCAAGACAUCGCACGCUUAUCACCGUUAGACGAAUCACCCAACACAAGAUUAGAACAAUGAAAAUAAGCGUUCAGUUAAAAAUUUUCGCUAGAUUUAACUAAAACAAAAAAGAAAGAAAAAACAAGUUUUAUUCAUUGACCAACACACGAAGCCGUAUAAUAUUGUUACCAGACACCGUGGUACAAGACCGUAAGCCACCAAGUAUCGGGUUUCGACAGUCGUCUUGCAUUACCAUGUGUUCCCACCCAACAACCCUGAAGAAAUUGUACUCGCACGAUGAGUUUUAAAGACAGAUAUUUUAAAACAAUAAUAAUAGUAUAAUACCCAAGAACAUAAUAUGAUUUUUAUGAAUCAAGACGGAAACAAAUGAGUACUGUUAUAUUAUUUUAUGCAAUGUCGCUGCUACAUGCCUUUUUCCCACUACACGCAAUAAGGUAGGCGUGGGUCAUUAAAGAACAAAACCAUUUUGCAUAUAAAGUCAAAGGAUUUCGGGCAGACAAGYGCAGUAUUUGCAUGACUUUUCUUAUGGACGUAUUCAAGUGUGUCCCAUUACUAGAUGAUACAAGGUUUAUGCUAUGGCAGCUGUGUAACUAUUAGGAUCGUUAAACGUCGGUGAAUACUGGUUUCGUAUUGGUGCAUAGAAGUAUUAAUUUUUGAACUUGUCUAGCACCAUUUGAAACCAGUACUUAUUGACGGGAUGUCUACCAGAAAAAUAUAUUUACUCAGUAAAGGUACUUAUGAAGGUAUGAUUGUAUUAUUAUUUUUUUUUUGUGUUCUUAUAAACUAAGUUUUGUUUAUUUUAUAGUGCAGUUAGAAAUUAAGUUGUACAUUUUCGUUUAUAGCAAUAUAACGUGAGCUUUAUUUAAUAUUUUAUGYAACAUUUAAUCAGAACAAAAUAUCUAUGAUACAAUUCUAAACAUACC